GAUUCUGAGCGACUGAAGCUAUGGCUGCUGGCUGUUAAUCAGGAUGUUGAUUUACAGCUUCAAUACGUAAAGCUGUUGAAGUUGUGCAGUGAACAUUUUUCACCAGACGACUUCAAACCAUGUCAAGGAAACACUCAACUACAUCUGAAAUCAACAGCUGUGCCCAGCCUGUUUUUACAAAACAAAGAGGUAUGAGUGGAAUCGUCAUGGGGAGAUCGUUGAGGGAUAAAGUGACGAUACAGCAAUGUAGUUAUAUGACUUCACAUUUUUAAAUAAAUAUAUUAUUGUUAUAAUGCUUUACAUGAUUCUGUAAAGUACAUCCGAGUUACUAUAGUAACAUGAGACUACGAAUGAUCCAUCACAGCUCUGUCAGAACCCACAGUUAGCAGUCCCUACACAGGACCCACAGUCAGCAGGUCCACCUCUUAUCAGUGUCCUCCCAGAAGUUAGUGAUGUAAGUGAAAACACAGUCACAGAAGGAUUAUUUUUGCCUGCAUAUUUAGCUGGUGUACCCCAGUCAACCCCAGUUAAACCACAGAGCAUCCAAAGUUAACGAGAACAUGAGUGUGCAGUUACACCAAAACUUAUGUUGGUGCUAUCAAGUCCACAUACAGCUGAACAGCAUUCACGUCCAUCAACAUCAGGGACAUACUAUGCCUUAUCUGCCGCAAAGUCCUAUAAAAGAGUAAGUGUACUUUUUAUAAUUAAACUGUCCUUAUUUUGUAUUUGGUAUAAAUCAUAUCUGAACUAUUAUGAAGUCAAUACAAUGUAAAUUGGCAAGUUAUAUACUAUUCUUUUUUUCAUAGUAAUUAUUCAAACCAUACAAUUUGAUUCAUUACUUUUCAUCAUGUAGGGUGAACAAACACAUGCUGAAGACUCAUCAGAAGAUCUCAGUCUUGAUGUCAGCAUGCUGUCCCUGGAUCCUCCAUCUGACAAGAAGGACCAAAGUUUUGUUCCCCUAAGUUCUACCUCUAAUUCAACCACAACUACAGAGGAAGAUGAAGAAAAUGGUAAAUACCAACAAGAAAGGAAAUGAAUGGUCAAUGAGUCCCAUGUGAUGGAGCUGUUCAGAAACGAUUCAGUCAAAAGCACUAACCACAAUUGAAGAUGUAAUUGUAUAUAUUUUUUAACUUUUCUAAAAAAAAGGGUUACAGAAGCAUCAAGAUCUGCUUCAAUGGAGCCCCUAGGCUUUAGGAGAGGUCUAAACUCUCUUUUGGAAAAGGGAAUUGACAAAGUCAUGACUAUGAACUGAUCCCCGUCUAUACUAAAGUUGAUGAGGGUUGAUUAUCCACAAAUUCAUGAUGAGUUCGAUAUCUGGAAUGUAGUGAAGGGUAUGUACAUCUUGCAUUACUAAAACUUGUUAUACUUGUUUACAUGUGUGUGUGUAUAUGUGUAUAUGUAUGUAUAUAUUUAUUUAUUUAAUGUCUAUAGCAGUACCAAAUUGUUGCUGUGUGUAAACAACAGGUUGAUAUAAAUGUAUUAUGACUUCCGUUUGUAUGCAUUAUGCUGAUUAUUUUGCCCCAAAACUUCAUAAUGUGUAAUAUAUAUAAUUUUUUUUAAGGGUUCUUCAAAAAAUUACUGUCAGUUUCCAGAAAAAGAGAGAAUCAAGACCUCCAACCUUGGAUUAAAAGUAUAUGCAACCAUUUGUGGUAUGCAUGUGCAUCCUGCAGCUGCGACACCGAUGUGUUGACAGAGAAGUGGAAAUCACUUCUCCAUCACAUUUGUGGAGUACACAGUUGGGAAGAAGAUGGACAGCAACAUCAGUGUGCCCAUGAUGACCUCACUCCUGACCAGCAGAGAAGAAAACGUUGGAUACGAAAGGACUCUUCAGUGUUUUGGACACUGUCUUCUCUUGGUUUUGCAUUAAAAUCUCCUGAAGGACCUGAGCAAAUGGCGUUAUUCAAGCAUACAGCCAAGUUACUACUACAAAAAUGUAUUAGAUUUAAUAUGGAAAGGUUAACAUUAUAAAAUCCAUUUGUUUUCUCUGGCAGUCUUGAGGUGUACCAUUCUGUUCUUUUGAAAUACUGUCGGAAGAACCUACAUUUUCACUACUCUUCGAUGACAGCUCGUACUCAACUUGCUGUCCUAGAUCACAACGAAAAUGUACACCGUCAACAGGCCACAACCACCUCUGGUGUUCCUCGAUAUAACAUUGUCUAUCCCAAGCAAACCAAAGAGUGGCUGGCAAGAAAAAUCUACGAACCCACUAAACAAAAAUUCAGGGAUGAGGUAGUUCAAAAAGUACUGGAGCGGCACAAUGACCCCACUGUAGUUUGCAAGGACACAAUCUCUCAAGUUUCUUUUCCUGAAUAACCAUGCAAUAUUGCAAACCCAAACCGGACAAGGAAGCAGCUGUUGCAAAACAUGUGUCAAAGUUUCAAAAAUAAAUGACUGUCAAUCAUACAGUAAUAGUUAUUGUGAUUUUUCUUAUAUUGUUAUAUUUUUCUUUUAGUGAAAUGCCAGCUGCACAUGCAUGUAAAAAUUUGAGUAAAAACAAUUUUAUCUAUUAUAGUGAUGGUAAAGCCAUAAUCUGACCAAAAUUGUCCUAGCAGCUUCGACAUAACCUGUUUGGUAUACUGUAACAGAUAUACAAAAGCCUUUUUAGGUUUAUUUGUUUAUUUUUAUUAUAACAUUACUAAUACAAGCACAUUAAUAAUAAUAAUAAUAAAUAAAAGAUGUAGAAAAACUGUAUUGUUCUGCUGUUCUUUUGUUUAAAUUAGUCUGAAUGCUUCUUCGGCUUCCUUGAAACCCACAUACGUUCCUGAUGACGAUGGGUAUCUUGCCCGUAUGGCUCGAACAACACAAGAUGGUAGAAUUUGUCUGUUGCAUCUUCCCAGUUUUUCAUCUUUGAGUAUCCACUCCAGUACAACCCGGUA